rnacentral:rRNA from 1 species
UACGUAGGAGGCAAGCGUUGUCCGGAAUUACUGGGCGUAAAGCGCGUGUAGGUGGUGGGACAAGUCUGCUGUGAAAGCGCCUGGCUUAACCGGGCGAGGUCGGCGGAAACUGUCCGACUCGAGGACGGUAGAGGGGGGUGGAAUUCCCGGUGUAGUGGUGAAAUGCGUAGAGAUCGGGAGGAACACCGGUGGCGAAGGCGGUUCUCUGGGCCUGUACUGACGCUGAGGAGCGAAAGCGUGGGGAGCGAACAGG